GCGGCGCGGCGGGCGGACAGCUCCCACCAUGGACGCCUGAGGGCAAAGGUGUCGAUACAAACAGCAGCUGGAAUGCUUGCAGGUAGUCUCAACCUCAGUGGUGCGUAACUGUGAUUAUAAUUGUUGAGCAAAUAGAGUUGAGGGUAACGUUCCUAAUGCCUCGGUACCGGAUGGGUUUGGUUUUUUUUCCCCAUUUUCCCCCAUCCCAGCAGCGAGAUGGCAGCUGGAGGGGCAGAGUGCCUGCCUGGCGUGUGCAGGAUGCUUGCAGACUUUGUGCAGAUUCAGUGCAAACCUCAUUUGUUUUCUGCCCGCAGUUCACAGGAGCACUCCGCUUUUUAGUGGUUGACACUGCAGCUAUUUUUAGCGGCAUUUUAACAGCUGUCACUAACAACCAAGAUCUCAUCUUGAGCGGGGAAGGGAGAUUAUCUGUUUUAUUUAAAAAAAAAAAAAAAAAUCAAACGACAUAAUUGCCAGAUUAUAAAAUGCAAUUUAGAUCUUUAUCUGUCAAGAGAAAAGGCUAUCUGUUCCCAUUAUGCCAAUCCCAUAAAAAAAAAAAUGGUCCUAUGGUGGGCUUGAUAAAAUAAUGACUGGGGUCUACCAGACUGGGAAAUACGGCUGUUCUGUUGAUAUACGUACAAACGUAUAAACAACGCUUGCAAAUUCUGCUCGCAGUGGCCCUGUGGCAGCUCCCGCUGCUGUGUCGCAGCGUGGGAAUGGGCAAUGUUCUCCAGGUGGUCCGGGGAGCAGCGAACUCUUGCAGGAGAGCUCCCUUCCCCAUCUCUGGAUGGAGGUCAGCCUAUGUCAGCCACGUAGCAGGGAGCAGCGGGCACACUGGGGUAAGCCACUCUGCGGCAGAUGUCAUCCCUGCUCCAAAGAUAGUGGCAAAUUUGCCCUGGAUAAUGCAAUGCUGAACAAGAUAACUCUGCGAGCGCCAAGCAUUACCUCCUCCCCUGCUCGCAAAGCCAGCGACUUUGCACUGUGAAAGCAGCCUACUGUACUGCCUUGCUUAGAGGUCAUGUGCCCUAUUUUGAGAACUGAACCAAAGCGGAUGAAGUUUUGAGCCGCGUCCAAGUGAGGCAGCUGGGCAUUUCCCACUGCUCCCGGCCCCAGUGAAGCAGGCGGUCACAUGCUGUGAUGGGCAAGUCCUUCAGCUGAGAGUUAACUUUGAUGCUGCUCACCUCACCGGUGACUGCGCGAGAUGCGUAGCCGGCUGGGGAUCGCUUUUCAGAAGGACUGCAGCCAACUUUGGGUGGAUGCAGCGGAGCGGAGGUUGCUUUCCCAGUACCACUGGUGCCGGUGUCCCGAGAGCACUCCGCAGCCUGCCGGCUCCCCAGCUCGCUGCACUGAACACCUGGCUUCCUGGGCACAGCAAAAGUCUUCCAAACCCGACACAAGCCCUGGAAAAACAUAGAUGGAAAAACUGAAGCAGAAUAGUUGCAACUGAUGUGCCUGCAGUUGAAGGAUGGGGCCCCAUGUGUAAGUAGAAUAACUCUGUCUUACAAGAUGAUGAACUGACAGUCACACAGGAAAAAAAAAUCAGACAGACACUUCUUUUCUGGAUAGAUUAAACUCUCUAGAGGCUGGUAAAAAUGAAGCAAAUCAAGUACAUUAUCUUUCAUAUUCACAUCAACCCAUCUAUUGUUGAAAACAUCAGAAGUCAGCGUGUUCUCAUUCAGCUGAAAUAUUAUUUCUGUGCUAUUUCUAGAGCAAAGAGACAAAUAUGUGAGAAGUGAACACAUUUAAUAACCAGCAAUAGGAAAGAGAAAAGCACUGAAAAAGCCUGAGCACAAAGUCCGGCUCUGUCAACAAAUCCUGCCAUGUUCAUAGAAAGCCACUUGGAAGAGUAAACACCAGUUCCCACGAGUAAGAGAGCUUUGAUAUUUCACCAGGAGUGGUUUCCUAUCUGUUUCUCUCAUUUUUUUUCCUUUCCUUUGUUUGGAAGAGGUUGAUAUCUGCUUCUUUUAUGAUAACCCAGGAGUAGCGAAGGACUAGACAGCUGACUGGAGAAACUGGGUGCCAGGAGAUCAACACCUGUCACUUUCAUGUCAUUUAAUAAGAAGCAGACUGACCACCAGGUAAACACAAGCGACAGAGAGAGUAGGUGAGAUGUUGCCUAUCCUAACGGGUAGAUCAUUGCCAGUGUAUGGUCUUGAGGCCUGAAGGCUUUCCACAACUGUCUUUCCAUCAGUGGGCCACAAGCCAUUUAGUGCAGCUGGGCAUUAAAAGGCUAGAGCACAUUCAACGAUGCACUUGCGCAAAGCAGCAUGCAAAGAUAGAAGGUGCAAAAUACUUUUGCUUAGUCAUUAUUAUCUUUGCCCAUACUCAGUGAUGAUCUAGCAGUUCCUUAGUAAACACCAGCACUUCAAAGAAUGUGUGUGUUAAUUUGGUUUUUGAAAUGAGAAGACAAGUAGGUGGAAUGCAUGACCUCUAAUAAAGAAUCUUUUGAUGUUACACAUUAUUACCAGUUUUGAUGGCUGCUCAUUUUAAUUUCUGAAAGCGUAUCAUCAGUAAUGUCUUAUUCUGCCCGCCCAUGGGCUCUGUUUCUCACUUGGACUGGUGACUGUCAAACAGUACACAUUAGGGGAGUGAAGCUGAGCCACUUUUUGCAAUAACUUGAAUGGGACAGGUUAAGAAGUUCAAGAUGUACAAGAUAAAUCCAUUGUGUAUGUACAGAUAUCAGAUGUGCUGGAAAUACACGAGCGUGUCUUAUUGAGAAGUCUGGGUUAACCUAGCUAGGAUGACCCAUCUACAUUUCUCCUUUGCAUAUCUGCAUUUAUCAGUGGUAUACUGGUGUGUGUGCCUAUAGUAAAAAGUAUCAAUACAUAAUGAAUCUCAGAUUUGUGGAUCAUCCAUAGCCAGCAGUGGUGGUAUACUCAUCAGCUUUCUUGUAUAUAUUAGUAGUAUACAGUGAAAUACUGUUUGGAUAGUGUGCUCUGAUUUUUCUCUGUGGCAUGAUAUCUAAUUAUGAGACAGCACUGCAACAAGAAUGACCGUAUCCCAUUCAUAUAUGGUGAAUCAUUCUCUAUUUUUCCUGUUAAUGACUCAGCAACUCACAAACUGGGAGUGACCACCUAUUGUCUUUUUGAUCUGCUAAAUGGCAUCUGGGAACAACCAUUGUUGUGCAACAUAUUUGGCCAGAGUGGGCUUGCUGAUGACAGGAAGUCAGGGAUGUAUCUGGAUGGUCACAGAGUCACGCCUCAUUAGUGUGACCACAUACGAAGUGCUACUAUUUGCAUACUGAUGGAAGCAUGAUGUUGACUUACAACAGAGGGGACUGCCACUCUGAUGAUUAUAUCGUGUUGCAAGAGCCUGUGCAGAUGUCUGACUGUGGCUGUUGUACUCAUGUGGCACCUUUUUUUGUGGCCAUCUUCCUGUACAAAACAAAGGAUCACGUGGGCUGUGCCAGCUGUCCUGUUUGGUUUAACUUGUAGACUAUCCUGAGGUACCACAGGUAAGUGGGAUGCAUUUUGCUCAUCUGAACAGUUCAUCCUUCAGCUUUCCAGCUUCUGUGGCUGCCUGACUAAGUGGUUCUUCUUCACAUGCAAGGUCUGUUCCUUUUUCUACUGAAGGUAAAUGGCUGUGUGGGUGAGCUGCUGAUUGAUCGUUUAAUGCUCUCUCAGACAGAAUUAAGUGGGCAGAUCUUUGUGCAACAUUGUGCAGUGAGAGCUGCAUUUCUAAGAACACCUCAACUUUUCAUCUAUUCAUGCUCAUGCACUUGCUUAAUCAUGCUUAUCCUUACCCUGACUUGUCAGAAGUUGAUGAAGAAUUUGGCUUUUCCCAUGUACUUUUGUGCUGGAUCUUGGUCCCUGCUGCUAAUCAAACAACUUGAGUCAAUCACACCACCAUCAUAGAACACAUAACAUGGGAGACUGUCCAUGUUUGGGGAAACCUCUGUGUCCUGGUCCUUGAGCAGAGAGAGAAAGUACUCAGUGGACAAUUCUUGCUGCUUUAGCUAGCAUGUGUAGGACCAACUCUACAACCGGAGAGCAGCUGUAUACUUCUUGUUUCUUCACCCUGACAUUCUGCAUCAUAGUUGCUGGGGAAGGCUGGAAAUUGGACUGGUGCAAAAAGUUAUUGAAUGUGUUUACAGUUUCAACAGUCUUCUGCUAGUGUACCUUUGAUUGGGCACAGUGGUAUGCAUACAGAGAUGAAAUAUGCUGGAAAGAUUUCAUACCUUUUGGAGCUUCAAAAUUAGGAUUUAGUUUAACUAAAUUAACUUUUACCCAUGGAAAGAUUUCUAAAGAAAGGAAUAGCUACCUAAGUAACUACCUACCACCUCUUCAUAAGGUGUUUUCUGAGGGUGCACUUCUGAACAGAAAAAGGAUUUUAGAAAUGGAAAAUAUUACAUUAGAUCCAUUAUUAAUAAGAUUCCCACAGGUUUUGCAUUGCAGAGAUUAAAGGUGUAACUCCAGAAAUUGAAACCAAGGGAAGCUCUCUGUAAACACAGCAGAUAUAUAGAGUACUUUGGGCUGUGACAAGAGGAUGUCUGAUCUUAUUUUUUAGCCAGUAAAGGUUGUCGUGUACAUCUCAGCACUCCCGUGCUUGGGGAUCCACCACAGGACUCCGGUGAUCUUCUUGCUAUGAAACAAUUUCAUUCUUUGCAUUGCUUGAGACAUCCUGUAUGGCCUCAGGGAAGUCAUUUAGCUUCUCUGUACCUCAGUUCUUCUGUAAAAUGGAGAUAAGAUUUCCACUCUUCAUGAUGGCAUUAUAAGAAAGAAAAAGCCUGAGAUAUUCAGGCAGCACAAUUGUAAGACUGCAGGUAAAAUUUACUGCUCACUCAAAUCUAAUUCUGCAUUAAAAAAUCUGCAUAAAACUUGCUAGAUGUAAAUAUGUAUGCUGACAAAUACAAAAAUGAUCCGUUUUAGAAAUAUAAACCAGUCACAGUGACAGUACUAUAGUUGCUCUUACGAUGGUUUAGAGCAUUAUCCUGACACCAACACUGUCUAGUCAGGAGAAGACCCCGGCCUCUAUGGAAGGAGCUUGCAGAGUAAGAAAUCGAGAGACAGACACACUAUAGCAGAGUAAGACUAUGCCAGCCAAAUAUGAGGGUUCUGUCACACAUUUCUUUUGCAGUUUUUCCCUCUCUCCCCUUCCACACUGUGCUUUGCUGUGUUGCCCACCUCCCUGUCCUUUCUGACCUGCAUGUUCCCCUCUGCUGCCCGACUCAGUGCUUUCACAGGCUCAUGGCUGGCGUCUGCCUGCCAUCCCGCUGCUGCUCCUCAGCAAAGAACCUGCACUGCAGGUUUCAGCUCAAAACAAACAUUCAUGGCUGAGUUAUGAACCCCCAGAGGGAUAGAUGCUGAAGUGGAUUAAAGAACUGACUCUUUGCCUUUGGCUCCAAGCCAUGCUAGGACAAAAGUUAGGGCAAGUUUCAGAGUUAACUUUUUUUUUGUCCAUGCAGCUUGGGUCUGGACAUGGUGAAAAAAAGGCAAGGGAUGAAGCACUGCUGGUUAACACACAUUGGCCAGGCUUCAGAAGUAGCCUACACAGUGCUCCAGCCAGUCUGACCUAUUUAGUGAUGACAAGUUUUGACAGCAUUUCAGGAAACAUUUCAGCUUCUGAUGUAAAACCCAACACUGCUGGACAGCCCUCCCGAGCAAGGGCCUGUGGGAGGAGGAGGCACCCAGCACAGCGUGGCUGUGCAGGUGGCAAAAAGCCUGACUAGGAAACACUUAAGGGCCUCUUACACAAUGUGGGCUGUGACAGUGGCGCAGGGACAUUGGGGCAGGCCCUGUGCCUUCUCAGUGGCUGGGCUGUGUCCUUCAUGAGUGGCUGUUUGCUGUCCUCUGCCUUCAGGAUGGCGUCUCCUCAGGGUUUUUGGUGCCUCUGUGAUCCACAGUGUUCUCUGCUGAUAAGCUAGUUCUCUCACACCUCACAGAUCCUAUAGAAAGUGCCUAGAAAAGUCUCUCAUAGUAGUUUUUGGUCUUUUCCCCCGUGUGCUUGAGUCGGAGAGGUUCCAGGGCUGUCUGGAAGGCUUUCUGCUCUCCCCACAACCCUGGUAGAGAAGAAGGAGCAGUACAGUGCUCAGAGGCUUUAGUUCAAAUCGUCAAGACUUUUGAAGGCUGAAUAACAGAAGAUUGUUUUUAUAAAAUAAGAGACAGGUCCUUAUGAAGUAUGUAUGUACAAGUCAGUGUUUGCUCUUUCUGUCUCUCACUGACAGCCGUCUGAGGGUUUAAUUCAGUUUGCUGUUUGUAAAGUGGCAAACAGAAGAAUAAAAACAUUAAGGAAGUCUUACGUGAAUAAUAAUAAUGAUAAAUAUUUUCCUUAGGAUAAACGAAACUGUUUUCAGUAUACCGGAUUGCCUAAGAAUAUUUUGUAGCCAUUCACUUAUGCAAGGCUCCGAGGACACUGGGCAGGAAGAAUGGGUGGCUGGGAAGGGAAUGAGGCAGCAAACUGGAGUAAAUGAGCAAACUCUGUAAGAGCGUAUCUAGGUAGAUUUUUGAUUAUUCUAAUAUCAUGAAGUGCAGGGCAGGAUGCCCACGCUGGAUAGGAGGAGGUGUUGUAGCUGUCCUGCACUGAACUGGCUUUUCCUGGCCUUCCUCAGUCUUCUCCAGGCACCCCAGGUUCUGCAGGCUCAAUGGUGGCUGGGGGGCUGAAAUGGCCCCAGCUUCAGCAAUUCUGCUCAGGAAGUACCGUGGCAUGUGUGUUUGUUACUGUUUUCUGGAGCCAAAGAAGUUUCUUCUAAAUGAAUAAAAGUCUCUUGCUGUAUAAAAAGAUGCUGCAGCUUUGAAAGGAGCUGUUUGAAUGGAGUGUUGUGGCUCAGAAUACUUACAAAGACUUUUUUCUUUCUGAUCAGGAAGGGUCUCAAGUAGAGGUUUUGAAGGAAACAGGAGGAUUGUGGCUGCUUUCACUCAUCUCCUCUGUCAGAGCAUUGAGGAUCCUGAUGGAUAAACAGCCAGUCGAUGACUUGGAGGGCUUUGAAUACAGCACUGUGACCUCUUUCUUGAUUCUUCAAUUGAAAAAAAAAGCCAGUGGGGAGGAAGAGGAGCUGAGACUGAAACCAUAUUCCAGACAUUGCCUUCCUUACUUACCUCCAGAAGUUGCACUGGUUGGGAUGGGGCUCAGGUGUCUUCUGCACCCUCCAAAUUUCCCCUAGGCACUUCUUCCAAUCCUUUCCUUUGCUCAUUUAUACCAACGUCCCGGGCACUGUUUCUUGUUGAUGGCAUAUUAUAACAUUUACAAGAGGGGACAAAACAGAAAUGAAAGGACACAACACUUUUUUUGUUUCUUCUGUUGUUAAGUACACAAGUUUUCAACUUGUUCCAACUUUAGUUAGGCUUCUGGAAACAUCCAACAGAUGUUGAGCUUGAUGCUAGCAAAAACCUCACAUUGACAAACUGGCUCUUCUAAUAUGUGAACAAGUCUUGCAGACAUAUUUGGAAUGGUAAACAAUAAGCUGUCACUAUCUUCCUCAGUAUUGGUUGAAAGGAAGUUACUGAGCUGUGUCACAUUCGUGCUUUGAGCUCUUAAUACACAUCAUGAAUAAAUGUGUCUGCAGGUAUAUCUAGAUUUACAUCACUGUGUUUUCAUUCAGUAUCUUCUGCAGCAAAUUCAGUCUACAGAAAAGAGUAAAAAAUGUACAUUUGUUACUAACAGUUUAUAAAUUCCAUGAAAUUAAUUGUUACCUAAUGAAAAAUAACAUGGAAGUCUGUGGAUUUACACCAGAAACUAGUUUGGCUCCAAGAUGAGCAAAAUCUAACAGUGAUAGAAUACACCAUGUGAGAGGUAGCAACACGUUUUUAUUGUUGCUUCAUUAUUUUUUGGCAGGGUUGUAUUUUACGGUAAUAGCUUACAUGUUUGCUUUUACAGCAUGGCAUAAGGAGAAUGAACAACCGGAUCCUGCCUGGCCGGGCACGCGGGGAUGGGAAGCAGUCGCCUGACGUUCUCUGCGUUAAAGACGUCCUUGUCACAGUGCUGCAACCUGUGCUGCUUUGUUGUAGGAAACAACCUCUGGAAGGAAAUAGGCGUAGCUCCUGAUUACAGCCGGUUGGGAAUUUUACAAGAAAACAUCUUUCCACCGGAAAGAACGCGUGUUUCUCAAAACAGAGAUGUUUGGGGAAGUUGAGAGGCUCUGCCCUUGCUGGGCUCCAGGCUGAGAUUGAGCGGGUGGACGCCACCACUGAGGGGUAGCAGGUGCUGCGUGCCCUGGGGGCAGAGCUGGUAGAGGGGCUGCUCCCCUCACUUUCAGAAUGGCCCCACAUUCCUCGAGUGGUCUUUUUUUUUCCCCAGAUUUUAUUGUGUUAUUUUUUUGUAAGAAGCAUAGUCUUCAAAGUAUGCAAUUUUCUGUGGGGGUUUUCUUCACCAAAUAACCCACAUUUCUCAGAGUACGUAUUCUGCGUAUCUAAAAUAAUUACUGUUGUGAAAACUUUCUCAAAUACCAAAUGAAAUUACUUUACAGACAGAGGGUUCGUACAUACUUCCAUUUAAUUAAAUAACUCAGAAUAUGAUUUAUUUCCUGAAAUUGGAAGUGCUGUGCACUCUGAGUUCAUUAUUUACACACGCGUUCACAGCUCACUGAUCAUUCUAUUACCAGCGAGUUUCUAAUAAAAUAUAACUGUUUUUAGUAGCAGAACACUGACCAUGUUUCAGUGGCACAAAUAUUCCAGUUAUUUCACAUGCCACAGCCACAAAUGAUUCUCUCAGCAUUAAAUAGUGCAGUAAAAGCUGUACCUGUUUCAACAUUUUUGGAAAGCUUCAUUGAAGUAGCUGCUAUCUUGCAGAGAAAUGCAGCACAGAGUGCAUUGUUCAGAACUUUUUUGCACUAUGUAUCAAACACCCAUUUUCCCCCUCAUAUAUUUUGGGCAUAUGCUAAACUCAUAAUGUCUAACUUCUUUUUCUGAUACCAUGUCAGUGUAUUGGUUACCCUAUAGGAUACCAUGUUUUAAGUGUCUGUAGGUCUCUGUCUUUUGUGUUUGCAAUCAUUUCCUCAUAAAAUCACUCAUUUCUUUUGUAAACUUUCUCACUCCAUAUAUGUAUAUUUAAAUAUGGGCUACACAGUGAUACCUUCUUAAUUCUGCAGACUGCUGGGUGUUAUAGAAAGAGCUAUUCACACCCAACGUUGUUUAUUGUAGGUGUUUCUAGGGAAUCACUUAGUUUGUAAUCCGGCAGAGAUUUCAUUGUGCUGUACAAACACGUUUCUCACAACUUUAUUAUCCUUGGCUCUUUGCACUGAGCAUUAUUUCUUUCUGAAGUCACUUAAAAGGUGCUGUUAUUAGGAGGAUAUUUAGAGGAAAAUAAAACAUCAGCUAAAUCUGCCCAGUGAA